UACGUAGGGUGCAGGCGUUAAUCGGAAUUACUGGGCGUAAAGCGUGCGCAGGCGGUCUUUUAAGUCAGAUGUGAAAUCCCCGGGCUUAACCUGGGAACUGCGUUUGAAACUGGAAGGCUAGAGUGUGGCAGAGGGGGGUGGAAUUCCACGUGUAGCAGUGAAAUGCGUAGAUAUGUGGAGGAAUACCGAUGGCGAAGGCAGCCUCCUGGGCCAACACUGACGCUCAUGCACGAAAGCGUGGGGAGCAAACAGG
rnacentral:rRNA from 1 species